AUUGGACGUUACCCACAGAAGAAGCACCGGCUAACUCCGUGCCAGCAGCCGCGGUAAUACGGAGGGUGCGAGCGUUAAUCGGAAUUACUGGGCGUAAAGGGUGCGUAGGUGGUAGAUUAAGUUAUCUGUGAAAUCCGUGGGCUCAACCUGGGCAGGUCAGAUAAGACUGAUGUACUCGAGUAUAGGAGAGGGUAGUGGAAUUUCCGGUGUAGCGGUGAAAUGCGUAGAGAUCGGAAGGAACACCGGUGGCGAAGGCUGCUACCUGGCCUAAUACUGACACUGAGGCACGAAAGCGUGGGGAGCAAACAGGAUUAGAUACCCUGGUACUCCACGCUGUAAACGAUGUCAACUAGCU
rnacentral:rRNA from 1 species